rnacentral:rRNA from 1 species
GUGGGGAAUAUUCCGCAAUGGACGAAAGUCUGACGGAGCAACGCCGCGUGAGUGAUGAAGGUUUUCGGACUGUAAAGCUCUGUUGUUUAGGACGAAAGUGCCUGUUGCAAAUAGUUACAGGUAUUGACGGUACUGAACGAGGAAGCCACGGCUAACUACGUGCCAGCAGCCGCGGUAAUACGUAGGUGGCAAGCGUUGUCCGGAAUUAUUGGGCGUAAAGAGCAUGUAGGCGGGAAUCUAAGUCUGUUGUGAAAAUGCGGGGCUCAACCCCGUAUUGCGAUGGAAACUGGGUUUCUUGAGUGCAGGAGAGGAAAGGGGAAUUCCCAGUGUAGCGGUGAAAUGCGUAGAUAUUGGGAGGAACACCAGUGGCGAAGGCGACUUACUGGACUGUAACUGACGCUGAGGCGCGAAAGUGUGGGGAGCAAACAGGAUUAGAUACCCCAGUAGUCC